rnacentral:rRNA from 1 species
UACGAAAGGGGGCUACGCGUUGCCUCGGAAUCACUGGGCGUAAAAGCGCACGUAGGCGGAGCUCUUAAAGUACAGGGUGAAAUCCUGGAGCUCAACUCCAGAACGUGCCCUUUGAUACUGAGAGCCCUUGAGUCCGGAAGAGGUAAGUGGAACUGCGAGUGUAGAGGUGAAAUUCGUAUGACUACUUCGCAAGAACACCAGUGGCGAAGGCGGCUUACUGGUCCGGUAC